GGCCCCAUAGCUCAGUUGGUUAGAGCAUCCGACUCAUAAUCGGCAGGUCGCAAGUUCGAGUCUUGCUGGGGCCACCA
rnacentral:tRNA from 1 species